CGUAUCUCGCUCGUUUGCGGGUUCAAAAAGUUGCUAGGCGUUUGCAGACGCCGGUUCCCGUGGCUUGGGUAAAAACUCAGCUUGUGAACAGUAAAAAUAUUUUUAGCAAAAAGUUACCUAGAUAAAUAGGUAUCACUCGUACCUGCUGUAGCCCGUGUGAGAGUGUUUGAGCAGGCAGUGACCUGCUGAAGAGCAGGAAAUAGGUUUUAACCUGGAGGUCCCGGUGCUUAGCGCAGCUUCUCGGAUAAAAUACUAAGUGAAUAUAGGAGAAAAUGAGAAACCUGCAACGUUACUGUAGCAGAGGCAUUUGAGCGCCUACUGUGACCCAGGCACUGAGCCACACUCUGCAAGGAUUCAUUUAAUCCUCACCCAGCAUAAGAGCUUGUGGGAUCUUAGUUCCUGGUCCAGGGAUCGAACUCGGGCCCUCGGCUGUGAAAGCGCAGAGUCCUAACCAAGGACUGCCAGGGAAUUCCCUCAAGUGACAGUACAGUCAAAGGUGAUGUCGUUUCUCUAGUGCUUCAAUCAGCCUGGGAAGAGUCUGCUCGUCAUUGAUAUCCAAAAUUUCGCAGGAUGGCAAAGGUGGAAAACUCUGCAAAACCACUUCUGAAACCAGCAGUUCUGUAUUGAGUUAUUAAAAAUAAAAAGUUAGUUACACAGGAAAAAAAGUUACUCAAACAAGUUUUAACACUGUGAAAAGAUCCCCAGUCAACAUUGUACCUUGUUGGGCUGUCAUAAUACGUCCUUAAAAAUGUUACAAUAAAGAAGGAAAAAUGGAAAAAAAAGGUAUAUAAUAAAAGAAA